CCUACGGGAGGCAGCAGUGGGGAAUCUUGCGCAAUGGGGGAAACCCUGACGCAGCAACGCCGCGUGGGUGAUGAAGGCCUUCGGGUCGUAAAGCCCUGUCAGGUGGGAAGAAAUGUGAAGAUGCUAAUAACAUCUUCACUUGACGGUACCACCGGAGGAAGCACCGGCUAACUCCGUGCCAGCAGCCGCGGUAAUACGGAGGGUGCAAGCGUUGUUCGGAAUUACUGGGCGUAAAGCGCGUGUAGGCGGUCAGGUAAGUCAGAUGUAAAAGCCUUCCGCUCAAUGGGAGAAGUGCAUUUGAAACUGCCUGACUAGAGUACGGGAGAGGAGAGUGAAAUUCCCGGUGUAGGAGUAAAAUCCGUAGAUAUUGGGAGGAACACCGGUGGCGAAGGCGGCUCUCUGGACCGAUACUGACGCUGAGACGCGAAAGCAUGGGGAGCAAACAGGAUUAGAUCCCCUGGUAGU
rnacentral:rRNA from 1 species